rnacentral:rRNA from 1 species
CAGCCGCCGCGGUAAUACGUAGGGGGCAAGCGUUAUCCGGAAUUACUGGGUGUAAAGGGAGCGUAGACGGUUAAACAAGUCUGAAGUGAAAUGCCGGGGCUCAACCCCGGAGCUGCUUUGGGAACUGUAGAACUGGAGUGUCGGAGGGGUAAGCGGAAUUCCCAGUGUAGCGGUGAAAUGCGUAGAUAUUGGGAGGAACACCGGCGGCGAAGGUGGCUUACUGGACGACAACUGACGUUGAGGCUCGAAGGCGUGGGUAGCAAACAGGAUUAGAUACCCCGGUAGUCCCUGUCUCUUAUAC